rnacentral:rRNA from 1 species
UACGAAGGGGGCUAGCGUUGUUCGGAAUUACUGGGCGUAAAGCGCACGUAGGCGGACUACUAAGUCAGGGGUGAAAUCCUGGAGCUCAACUCCAGAACUGCCUUUGAUACUGGCGAUCUCGAGUCCGGGAGAGGUGAGUGGAACUGCGAGUGUAGAGGUGAAAUUCGUAGAUAUUCGCAAGAACACCAGUGGCGAAGGCGGCUCACUGGCCCGGUACUGACGCUGAGGUGCGAAAGCGUGGGGAGCAAACAGG